UCGAGAGGCUUCCACAAUGGGGGAAACCCUGAUGGAGCGACGCCGCGUGGGUGAUGAAGGUCUUCGGAUCGUAAAGCCCUUUCAGUAAGGAUGAAGUUACCCUAUGCUAAUACUGUGGGGUAAAAGACGGUACUUACAGAAGAAGCUCCGGCUAACUCCGUGCCAGCAGCCGCGGUAAGACGGAGGGAGCAAGCGUUGUUCGGAAGUAUUGGGCGUAAAGGGCGCGUAGGCGGUAAUGUAAGUCAGAUGUGAAAUACUCAGGCUCAACCAGAGAACAGCAUCUGAAACUGCAUAACUAGAGUACAGUAGAGGUAGGCGGAAUGUGUAGUGUAGCGGUGAAAUGCAUAGAUAGUACACAGAACACCGAUUGCGUAGGCAGCUUACUGGAGUGUAACUGACGCUGAGGCACGAUAGCGUGGGGAUCAAACA
rnacentral:rRNA from 1 species